rnacentral:rRNA from 1 species
AACGUAGGUACCGAGCGUUAUCCGGAUUUACUGGGCGUAAAGCGCGUUCAGGCGGUUUGGCAAGUCGGGCAUGAAAUCUCUCGGCUCAACCGGGAGAGGUUGUCCGAUACUUCCAGACUUGAGGGCAGUAGAGGGUGGUGGAAUUCCGGGUGUAGUGGUGAAAUGCGUAGAUAUCGGGAGGAACACCCGUAGCGAAGGCGGUUCUCUGGGCCAAUACUGACGCUGAGGAGCGAAAGCGUGGGGAGCAAACAGG